rnacentral:rRNA from 1 species
CUACGGGGGGCACCAGUGGGGAAUAUUGGGCAAUGGGCGCAAGCCUGACCCAGCAACGCCGCGUGAGGGAAGAAGGUUUUCGGAUUGUAAACCUCUGUCCUUGGGGACGAAGAAGUGACGGUACCCAAGGAGGAAGCUCCGGCUAACUACGUGCCAGCAGCCGCGGUAAUACGUAGGGAGCAAGCGUUGUCCGGAAUUACUGGGCGUAAAGGGUGCGUAGGCGGCAUAUUAAGUCAGGUGUGAAAUACUCGGGCUCAACCCGGGGGCUGCAUUUGAAACUGAUAUGCUUGAGUGUGAGAGAGGAAAGUGGAAUUCCUAGUGUAGCGGUGGAAUGCGUAGAUAUUAGGAGGAACACCAGUGGCGAAGGCGACUUUCUGGCUCAUAACUGACGCUGAGGCACGAAAGCGUGGGGAGCAAACAGGAUUAGAUACCCUUGUAGUC